UGACACGUCAACUUCUAUAACAUGGAAACGGGGGGGAAAUCCCCCUCUGGCAUUUUUGAACGAAACACCUGAGUAUUUGUGUAUGUGUUGUUUCUAAAGUAAAUUAAGAGCUAAGUAUGCGUGUCUGGAUAUACUCUGCGACGAGUAAUUGGUUUAAAAAUGAAGCACUUGCCCAUGGUCGGACCUCGGAGGGAUUGAGACGUGGCAGUAUCAAAUAUGGUCAAGUUGAUCGUGGGGUUCUUACCGUUUGAAGAUGCCCAAGUGAAGAAUAUGUAUGGUGGAGAGGUACCACCUCCUAUCGUCACCAUCGUCAUAGUACCAUUUGACGCUCAGCAGCUGGACUGCGGUACCCGGAAGGAAGAGCCCGAGCGUGAAACCGGCCCAGCGUGUCUCAUCAUUCCAAAGAGUUGACCAGUGUUGGUGCCAUUGACUGAAGUCCCAUUUCACAUUCACGCUCCACUUCAUGUUCUGUCCUUGGACCAUCGAUUUGCUUCGUCAGCAAGUCAUCCAUCCGAUCCGUCCUCGGUGUAGAAUGAUUGUUUCCGUCAGUGUAGCGCUCGUGUAAUUUCAGCAUCAACACAACAUGCUUAUUUUUGGAACCCGCACAAAGUGCAGUGAGAACAUGCAAAUGUCUCCGAUUCAAACCUCCGGACUGUCAGCGAGACAACCAUCUAUGUUUUUAUUGGAAUGUCAUUUUGUUGAGCUGUAAAUUGAUUUUAUUUGUAUACUCCAAUAUAACCAGGCUCUUUAUUGAUACCAAGGUAUUGUUUGUUUGACAUUCUAACUGGGAGGUGAGUACCCCUAAAGGUCAGCCCCGACAGACCUAGAAUAGAAACCUGCAACGCGUUAGCAUCAUGACUCGAAUGGUGGUCGAAUCAGUACCGCCCUCGCAGCACCGUGCCUUCAUUCAUUGCAGAUAAAACACGUCAUUAAAAUCGAUUCUCCAUCUGAGUCGAUGGAGUUCAGCUCCCUGCAAGCUCGAGCGCGUAUCGACACGGACGCCCCUCCACUUACGAGCGCU